UAAGCACCGGCUAACUCCGUGCCAGCAGCCGCGGUAAUACGGAGGGUGCAAGCGUUAUCCGGAUUCACUGGGUUUAAAGGGAGCGUAGGUGGGUUGGNAAGUCAGUGGUGAAAUCNCCAAGCUUAACUUGGNAACUGCCAUUGAUACUAUNNNUCUUGAAUANNGUGGAGGUUAGCGGAAUAUGUCAUGUAGCGGUGAAAUGCUUAGAUAUGACAUAGAACACCNAUUGCGAAGGCAGCUGGCUACACNAUUAUUGACACUGAGGCUCGAAAGCGUGGGGAUCAAACAGGAUUAGAUACCCUGGUAGUCCACGCCCUAAACUAUGGAUACUCGACAUNUGCGAUACACAGUNNGUGUCUGAGCGAAAGCAUUAAGUAUCCCACCUGGGAAGUACGAUCGCAAGAUUGAAACUCAAA
rnacentral:rRNA from 1 species